rnacentral:rRNA from 2 species
GGACUACUGGGGUAUCUAAUCCCGUUUGCUCCCCUGGCUUUCGUGUUUCAGAGUCAGGAAUCUUCCAGGUAACCGCCUUCGCCACCGGUGUUCCUCAUGAUAUCUACGCAUUUCACUGCUACACCAUGAAUUCCGUUACCCCCUCCGAUCCUCUAGCCGAGCAGUAUCAAGCGCAGUUUCGCAGUUAAGCUGCGAGAUUUCACACCUGACUUACCCGACCUCCUACACACCCUUUACGCCCAAUGAAUCCGAACAACGCUCGGGACCUCUGUCUUACCGCGGCGGCUGGCAC